GUGCCAGCAGCCGCGGUAAUACGGGGGGAGCGAGCGUUGUCCGGAAUCACUGGGCGUAAAGGGUGUGUAGGCGUCCCGGUAAGUCUCUGGUGAAAGCCUUCCGCUCAACGGAAGAAUUGCCAGAGAUACUGUCGGGAUUGAGUCCGGGAGAGGGGAGCGGAAUUCCUGGUGUAGCGGUGAAGUGCGUAGAUAUCAGGAAGAACGCCAGAGGCGAAGGCGGCUCCCUAGCCCGGUACUGACGCUGAGGCACGAAAGCUGGGGUAGCGAAGGGGAUUAGAUACCCCCGGUAGUCCCAGCCGUAAACGAUGCGGGCUAGCCGUAGGUUUCCUUCGGGAAAUCCGUGGCUCAGGGAAACCGGUAAGCCCGCCGCCUGGGGAGUACGCUCGCAAGGGUGAAACUCAAAGGAAUUGACGGGG
rnacentral:rRNA from 1 species